UGGGGAAUUUUGGACAAUGGGCGCAAGCCUGAUCCAGCCAUGCCGCGUGUGUGAAGAAGGCCUUCGGGUUGUAAAGCACUUUCGGCCGGAACGAAAUCGCGCGGGCGAAUAUCCCGCGUGGAUGACGGUACCGGAAGAAGAAGCACCGGCUAACUACGUGCCAGCAGCCGCGGUAAUACGUAGGGUGCGAGCGUUAAUCGGAAUUACUGGGCGUAAAGUGUGCGCAGGCGGCCGAGCAAGUCGAGUGUGAAAUCCCCGGGCUUAACUUGGGAAUUGCGCUCGAAACUACUUGGCUGGAGUGUGGCAGAGGAAGGUGGAAUUCCACGUGUAGCGGUGAAAUGCGUAGAGAUGUGGAGGAACACCGAUGGCGAAGGCAGCCUUCUGGGCCAACACUGACGCUCAUGCACGAAAGCGUGGGGAGCAAACAGGAUUAGAUACCCUGGUAGUCCACGCCCUAAACGAUGAUGACUAGUUGUUGGGGGA
rnacentral:rRNA from 1 species